rnacentral:rRNA from 1 species
UACGAAGGGGGCUAGCGUUGCUCGGAAUCACUGGGCGUAAAGCGCACGUAGGCGGCUUUCUAAGUCAGGGGUGAAAUCCUGGAGCUCAACUCCAGAACUGCCUUUGAUACUGGAGAGCUAGAGUCCGGAAGAGGUGAGUGGAACUGCGAGUGUAGAGGUGAAAUUCGUAGAUAUUCGCAAGAACACCAGUGGCGAAGGCGGCCGGCUGGGGGUGCCCUGACGCUGAGCGCGAAAGCGUGGGAGCGAACCGG